rnacentral:rRNA from 1 species
AGUAAAUAGAUACCCAGGUAGUCCACGCCCUAAACGAUGUCUACUAGUUGUUGGUGGAGUAAAAUCCAUUAGUAAACGCAGCUAAACGCGUGAAGUAGACCGCCUGGGGAGUACGGUCGCAAGAUCAAAACUCAAAGGAAUUGACGGGGGCCCGCACAAGCGGUGGAUUAUGUGGAUUAAAUUCGAUGCAACGCGAAAAACCUUACCUGGCCUUGACAUGCCACUAACGAAGCAGAGAUGCAUUAGGUGCCCGAAAGGGAAAGUGGACACAGGUGCUGCAUGGCUGUCGUCAGCUCGUGUCGUGAGAUGUUGGGUUAAGUCCCGCAACGAGCGCAACCCUUGCCAAUAAUUGCCAUCAUUCAGUUGGGCACUUUAUUGGGACUGCCGGUGACAAACCGGAGGAAGGUGGGGAUGACGUCAAGUCCUCAUGGCCCUUAUGGCCAGGGCUUCACAC